rnacentral:rRNA from 1 species
AACGAACGCUGGCGGCAGGCUUAACACAUGCAAGUCGAGCGCCCCGCAAGGGGAGCAGCAGACGGGUGAGUAACGCGUGGGAAUCUACCCAUCUCUACGGAAUAACGCAUGGAAAAGUGUGCUAAUACCGUAUACGUCCUUCGGGAGCAAGAUUUAUCGGAGAUGGAUGAGCCCGCGUUGGAUUAGCUAGUUGGUGGGGUAAAGGCCAACCAAGGCGACGAUCCAUAGCUGGUCUGAGAGGAUGAUCAGCCACACUGGGACUGAGACACGGCCCAGACUCCUACGGGAGGCAGCAGUGGGGAAUAUUGGACAAUGGGCGCAAGCCUGAUCCAGCCAUGCCGCGUGAGUGAUGAAGGCCCUAGGGUUGUAAAGCUCUUUCACCGGUGAAGAUAAUGACGGUAACCGGAGAAGAAGCCCCGGCUAACUUCGUGCCAGCCGCCGCGGUAAAAC